rnacentral:rRNA from 1 species
CGCCUAACACAUGCAAGUCGAACGAGAAGCUGUAGCAAUACAGUUGUAGAGUGGCGAACGGGUGAGUAACACGUGGGCAACCUACCCUCGAGUGGGGAAUAACCAGCCGAAAGGUUGGCUAAUACCGCGUACGCUUCCAUCCCUGCGGGGGUGGAAGGAAAGCCGUGCCGUGGGCACGGCGCUCAAGGAUGGGCUCACGUCCUAUCAGCUUGUUGGUAGGGUAACGGCCUACCAAGGCUCCGACGGGUAGCUGGUCUGAGAGGACGAUCAGCCACACUGGCACUGCGACACGGGCCAGACUCCUACGGGAGGCAGCAGUGAGGAAUAUUGCGCAAUGGGCGAAAGCCUGACGCAGCGACGCCGCGUGGGGGAUGAAGGUCUUCGGUUUGUAAACCCC